AGUGAUGACAUAUUGACACCGCUUGAGAAACACCACCGUCUCUUUAUACGGGUGUUUAGUCCCUAAAUUGAUAAUGAAAAAGCCCACCAUGGAGAGACAUCAAAUACACAUGUUGAUUCUUUCUUCUCUCUUCAAUGAGAAAAGAUAAAAGAAGUCCUCACAUGGUAAAAGAAGCUCAUGAUAAGAAUAUCAAAAAUUGUGGGAUCUAUUAUCAUAUGACAAUGCCUUAGAAAGCAGCAUUGUUGUUGCAACAACACCUCAACUGUAGAGAGGCAACAGAAAAUCAUCUUCUUGCAAACACAAAUCAUGUCAACUCCAUCUCAAAUGCAGGGUAAUCUUGCUAUUACACCUUCCUUCUACUUCAGAAAUAUGUUAGAAUAUCGAAUCUUCUAUUUAUUUCUUUCCUCA